GACGAGCGCUGGCGGCGUGCUUAACACAUGCAAGUCGAGCGGAAAGGCCCUUCGGGGUACUCGAGCGGCGAACGGGUGAGUAACACGUGAGUAACCUGCCCCAGACUUUGGGAUAACCCCCGGAAACGGGGGCUAAUACCGGAUACGACACAGCUUCGCAUGGGGUCUGUGUGGAAAGGUUUUCGGUUUGGGAUGGGCUCGCGGCCUAUCAGCUUGUUGGUGGGGUGAUGGCCUACCAAGGCGACGACGGGUAGCCGGCCUGAGAGGGCGACCGGCCACACUGGGACUGAGACACGGCCCAGACUCCUACGGGAGGCAGCAGUGGGGAAUAUUGCACAAUGGGCGGAAGCCUGAUGCAGCGACGCCGCGUGAGGGAUGACGGCCUUCGGGUUGUAAACCUCUUUCAGCAGGGACGAAGCGUAAGUGACGGUACCUGCAGAAGAAGCGCCGGCCAACUACGUG
rnacentral:rRNA from 1 species